CUUGCGUUUCUUAUUUUCGCUCUAAACACGAUAAUUACUGUAUGUCUGGCAGCACUGAUACAUGCUGGCAAGCAGAGGCAGAGAAGCAUCUCCUACAACUGCAGGACUUCCUUUGGUUAAACAAAUUCUGUCACUGCUCUUUACGUUUGUUUAGGUUUGUUCCAUGUACUCUAAUUUAAACUAUUGGUUGAUUACUAUUUUUGUUUCAGGUGCCCCAACCAACCUUCUUAUCAAGCCUCUCUUCCACCGCUACCACCUCUUAGCGAGCCUCUGGUGGGACGGGUUCAUCCUCUGUGCUGAGACUUAAUUAUGAUAUGCCACAGCAACGUCAGCCCCAAGUAUUGGCUGAGGUGGAGUCAACUUUAGCAGCAGUGAUGCAGCAUCAUAAUGCACAAUCUAACCUAAGCCAUGCAGAUGUUGGAUUAUUUGUUGCACAUGCAGCCCAGCUCCAGUCAUUCUGUGAAGAUGUCAUGUUCAUUAACUCUGAUCACUGAAAUCACACUUCUGCUGUGGACCCGUUUUUGUGGGGAGUACCAAGAUCAUAAGGCGCAUAAACCAACCUCUUGUUAAGCCAACACCUCCGUCUCCUGCAGAGGAGCUCCGCAAUGGGGAAAUCUACAGGUCAGCAGGAAAGCAAAAGAGACUGCGCCCUACAGAACCUUGCAGCGCAGAUGAAGGCACUCCCUAAAGUUGUGGGCUGUGAGCUGUGUGGUGGAAAUUUUGCAAUAAAGGCAGAUGAGAGAGA